rnacentral:rRNA from 1 species
CCCCCAGUAGCGGCGAGCGAACGGGGAGGAGCCCAGAGCCUGAAUCAGUGUGUGUGUUAGUGGAAGCGUCUGGAAAGGCGCGCGAUACAGGGUGACAGCCCCGUACACAAAAAUGCACAUGCUGUGAGCUCGAUGAGUAGGGCGGGACACGUGGUAUCCUGUCUGAAUAUGGGGGGACCAUCCUCCAAGGCUAAAUACUCCUGACUGACCGAUAGUGAACCAGUACCGUGAGGGAAAGGCGAAAAGAACCCCGGCGAGGGGAGUGAAAAAGAACCUGAAACCGUGUACGUACAAGCAGUGGGAGCACGCUUAGGCGUGUGACUGCGUACCUUUUGUAUAAUGGGUCAGCGACUUAUAUUCUGUAGCAAGGUUAACCGAAUAGGGGAGCCGAAGGGAAACCGAGUCUUAACUGGGCGUUAAGUUGCAGGGUAUAGACCCGAAACCCGGUGAUCUAGCCAUGGGCAGGUUGAAGGUUGGGUAACACUAACUGGAGGACCGAACCGACUAAUGUUGAAAAAUUAGCGGAUGACUUGUGGCUGGGGGUGAAAGGCCAAUCAAACCGGGAGAUAGCUGGUUCUCCCCGAAAGCUAUUUAGGUAGCGCCUCGUGAAUUCAUCUCCGGGGGUAGAGCACUGUUUCGGCAAGGGGGUCAUCCCGACUUACCAACCCGAUGCAAACUGCGAAUACCGGAGAAUGUUAUCACGGGAGACACACGGCGGGUGCUAACGUCCGUCGUGAAGAGGGAAACAACCCAGACCGCCAGCUAAGGUCCCAAAGUCAUGGUUAAGUGGGAAACGAUGUGGGAAGGCCCAGACAGCCAGGAUGUUGGCUUAGAAGCAGCCAUCAUUUAAAGAAAGCGUAAUAGCUCACUGGUCGAGUCGGCCUGCGCGGAAGAUGUAACGGGGCUAAACCAUGCAC